rnacentral:rRNA from 1 species
GGCUACUUCUAGUCUUGUAAUUGGAAUGAGUACAACUUACAUCUCUUCACGAGGAUCAAUUGGAGGGCAAGUCUGGUGCCAGCAGCCGCGGUAAUUCCAGCUCCAAUAGCGUAUAUUAAAGUUGUUGCAGUUAAAAAGCUCGUAGUCGGAUUUCGGGGCGGGCCGAGCGGUCUGCCGAUGGGUAUGCACUGUUCGGCGCGUCCUUCUUUCCGGAGACUAGUUCUACUCUUAACUGAGCGGGACUGGGAGACGGAUCGUUUACUUUGAAAAAAUCAGAGUGUUUCAAGCAGGCAGCUCGCUCUUGCAUGGAUUAGCAUGGGAUAAUGAAAUAGGACUCUGGUGCUAUUUUGUUGGUUUCGAACACCGGAGUAAUGAUUAACAGGGACAGUCA